AAAGUUUAGUAUAGAUUUUGAUGUAUAAUUUAUUGUCAAUAAGUAGGGUUUAACUUUUG
rnacentral:tRNA from 1 species